rnacentral:rRNA from 1 species
AUUGAACGCUGGCGGCAUGCCUUACACAUGCAAGUCGAACGGUAGCGGGCCUUCGGGUGCCGACGAGUGGCGAGCGGGUGAGUAAUGUAUCGGAACGUACCUUUCAGUGGGGGAUAACGUAGCGAAAGUUGCGCUAAUACCGCAUAUUCUGUGAGCAGGAAAGCAGGGGAUCGCAAGACCUUGCGCUGAUUGAGCGGCCGAUAUCAGAUUAGCUAGUUGGUGAGGUAAAGGCUCACCAAGGCGGCGAUCUGUAGCGGGUCUGAGAGGAUGAUCCGCCAAACUGGAACUGAGACACGGUCCAGACUCCUACGGGAGGCAGCAGUGGGGAAUUUUGGACAAUGGGGGCAACCCUGAUCCAGCCAUGCCGCGUGAGUGAAGAAGGCCUUCGGGUUGUAAAGCUCUUUCGGCCGGGAAGAAAUCGUAUCAGCUAAUACCCUGUGUGGAUGACGGUACCGGAAUAAGAAGCACCGGCUAACUACGUGCCAGCCGCCGCCGUAAAAC